rnacentral:tRNA from 1 species
GGGGUUGUGGCUCAGUGGUAGAGCACUUGCCUAGCACGUGUGAGGCACCAAGUUCAAUUCUCAGCACCA